rnacentral:rRNA from 1 species
UACGUAGGGGGCUAGCGUUGUCCGGAUUUAUUGGGCGUAAAGAGCGUGUAGGCGGCCAAGUAAGUCCGGUGUGGAAACUCGAGGCUUAACCUCGAGAUGUCAUCGGAAACUAUUUGGCUAGAGUCCGGAAGAGGAGAGUGGAAUUCCUGGUGUAGCGGUGAAAUGCGCAGAUAUCAGGAGGAACACCGGUGGCGAAGGCGGAUCUCUGGGCCUUGCCUGACGCUGAGGCGCGAAAGCUAGGGGAGCGAACAGG